CGGCCGCGUGUGGGAUGAGACGGGCUUUCAUCUCCCGAAACGUGGGAAGAAAUUGCGUCAAAGGAUUACAGUGGCUUUUGGACGAGCCAAAGGGACCUGCCGAAAAGACGUCAUGAGGAAGAUGGUGUUCCACCGCCAGAGGAUGUCUGCGGUCUAUGCUUUGCUAUUCUUCUUCCAUUUUUAGAAGCAAGCCUUCCAAAAAUCUUUCCUCGAAGAAAACAAUUUCUUUGCUGCAAGGAAACGAUUUUUUAAUUAUGGAUUCCGGUAUCGGUUUGGAUUACAUAGUAGAGAAUCCUGACUACGCGAAGAAGUUAGCUGUGGAAAAAUCGAAAACUGUUAUGAGGCUCAUUGACGGCAACCUUCCCCUAUGUCUCGCUGGCUGAAAACAGCUAAUAGAAUCUUGAGAUUGUAC